GAAGUGGUGAUUCAGUGGCAGAGUUCUCACCUUGCAUGCAGGUGACCUGGGUUCGAAUCCCAGCCAAUGCA
rnacentral:tRNA from 1 species